CAAACACAAUAAACUUAAAACCUUAAAAUUUGAAUAAACACAAAACUACCAAAUCAUUUUUUUCUUUAAUUAUAUAACCACAAAAUUCAAAUCACACAAGUUUAUAUUUGAAAUGUUAAAUAUGUUCUUAUUUUUAAGUUCAAACCAUUUGUAGAUAAAAUAAAUGUGUUUUUUUCUGCCAUUGAUUAAUUAUAAUCUAAAGGUCUAAAGUCAUUAUCCUAGUGCUCAUUUCUUAUUGGUUGAUUCUUGAAAUCUGGGAUCUCUAUUUUUGGCUAUUGGAUUACAUAAAUCAAUGGCUAAGAAUCAAUGUGGCUCUUUCUCGUUUAGCUUACUCUGUAAGCUUUUCUCUUUUUUUUUUUAAUAACAGUGAACGCUUUUCUCUGUAUCUCAUCUAACAGAUUCAUUUUUUUUCUUCUUCUUCUUCUCUCUGCACCAUCCAUGGUGUAAGGUCCACCAUAUCUCCCAUUUCAACCGUCUCUCACCACCACAAGUCACCUGCAAUCACGUUCGUGACUUCGCCGAACCGGGGCGUCCAAGGCCAGCCAAGCUCCGUCAAGAGAAUCCUCAACCUCUGUAUCUCGCUUUGGAGAGUCGCCGCUCAAAGUCCAAGGAAGAACACGCCCUCUACAGCGCCGGCCCAUGAGAAGAAUCAGCGCCGUCGGAGACAAACCCUAGAACCCCAUCGUCCUCCGAACGGAGGUUGAGUGGAUUCUAAGAAGCAAGGAGGUGGGGGAGACAUAAACACAGUGGAGAAAAACAAGAAAAAAGGAGAAGAUGAAGAAGCUUGGAGGCCUCCACGAUCUUUGCUAUCCAUGUCUUGACGACGGCGUUAAGAAAAGAGGAGGCCUGGUUUUCUUACUAGGUUUAGUUUUGGUUUAGUUUUAGUUUAGUUUUGGUUUAGUUUUGGUUAGGUUUUGGUUUAUACUUUUAAUUUGUAAAUCAUAUUUUUUUUUACAUUAAUAAAAAAAUUAAAUAUAUAAACGAGUUUAAAUUUUAA